UAUCUUCUUCUGUUUCUGUUCCAGCACCAGACUGCUUUGAUGACCGCUGCUCUGUAGUAUGUGUUGAGGUCUGUAAUUGUGAUUUCUCCAGCUAAAUUUAUAUUCAG